AGUUCGUGGAGUAAUCUGUCUGGUUAAUUCCGUUAACGAACGAGACCUUACCUUGCUAAUUAGGAUGCAUAUUGAAUAUGUUAUUCUACUUAGAAGGACCAUGAAUACAUAAUUCAAGGAAGCAUGAGGCAAUAACAGGU
rnacentral:rRNA from 1 species